UCCCAAAGUGCUGUGAUUACAGGUGUGAGCCACUGCACCUGGCCUCUUCAUAUCUUACAACGCUAAAAUAAGUUUUUCCUGGGAACGAAGACUAUGAUGCUCCCUUCUUUAGUAGUCACCUGACCCAAUGAAAAGCACCAAGGAUUCUCUUUUGUUGAAUUUGAGUUGGCAGAGGAUGUUGCAGCAGCUGUCAACAACAUGUUUGGUCAGAUGAAGACUGGGUGGAGAAGUUUGCUGGGAAGAGGAUAAAGAGGAAGGUGGUUGAGACUUCCCAAAGCAGAAAGCCAGGAGCGCAGCCCAUUUACUGCCUUCUCCAGGAAGCUUUUCUGAAUCCUCCAGUGAGUAAGGGAGAGCCCACUGCUAAAAAAGGCCUAGUCAAAUCCUCAGGUGUACAUGGACAUCAAGAUUGGGAACAAGCCGGCUGGCUGCAUCCAAACCCUCCUGCGUUCCGACGUCGUGCCCAUGACCACAGAGAAUUUUCUCUACAUGUGCACCCAUUUAAAGGACUCGGCUUCAAGGGAAGCAGCUUCCACCGCAUUAUCCCCCAGUUCAUUUGCCAGGGCAGUGAUUUCACAAACCACGGUGGCACCAGGGGUCUGCGCAGGCAUGGCACUAAGUGUCCCAUGGCACAUUUGGCCCUCAUGGAGGCCUCAAAAGGGCAGGACCAGCACCCUCUUCUACGGAGGAAGGAACGGGCACAGCAGACUUGCGGAUCCUGCUCCCCUUCCCACUUCUGCACUUGGGGGUCUAAUGAGGCCUCAGUGGAACAUAGAAUUCCUCCCGCCCUGACAUCAUAGCUCCCGCCUGGGAGGCCUCCUGGAUGACUCCUUUCGCCUCCUCCCUUCCCUGAGAGCAGCCCCUGGCUCAACCUCCACCUCCGUGCUGCCUCGGACCACCUGCCCAGUCGAGCUGCCAUCACCUGCCAGAAACAAGGAGAGUCAGCAAUUACCAGCCAGCCAAGGUCCUGGAAGCUGACGUAGAGCUCGUGCCGACGGCAGACCUGCCGGCCGUGGGAGCCGCGGACGUCAUCUGCAGGGACAGAAGGGGCAAGGUCUUUUCUGGGGUUCCUGCUGUGUGCAGCUACUAUGGGGUACCAGGGUGGGGGAUGCCCUGAUGAGCACAUUUGUCAAAUAAAUGAAUGACAG
ensembl:lncRNA PPIEL peptidylprolyl isomerase E like (pseudogene)